AGGGUGAAACAAAACAGCCCUAAACGACAUCCUUGAUGUCACUGUCCUUCAGGUACUAAAGUGGGUUCAGCCCAAUAGUCCCCUCACCAGGCUGGGUCAAUUCACAUGCCACACAGCCUGAAAACCCACAUCUAUGUGAGUGAAGCAUUUCUUACCCGUUAUACUAAAUUUUAAACUAACCAGUUUUCCCCCUAUAAUGUUAAAAUAGAAUGGCUAUGGUCGAAUAAUAGAAGCAAGAACUCCUUCUGUGGGGUUUUCUGUUUGUGUCCCCCUGCCAAAUGUCUGGGUAUGUAAUUUCACCAAAAUUUACAGUACUUGAGGAUAUGCAAUAAUUCUGCAUUCUUGAAAUUUCCCCCCUGCUUUCUUGCAAAUCUCAGCAUGAAAAAGGGACAAAAGAAAAAUCCUACUUUUCAAUUAGUUUGGAUAAUACAGUGUAAGUGGGUUUGUAGAUUUUUUUUUUGACUCUGAGAAUUUGUUUAUAAGGAAAGAAGCAGAGAAGAACCAGUAUUAGAGAGAAAAAUACUCUCCAUAGAUUUUUAAACAAGAGGGAGAAUAAAUAAGAGGUGAAGAUUGUCACUUGUUUUACACCUGAUUGGAAUAAAGAAACCAUUUACUGAGAGCCAGUCCUAGUUAAGUUUUGAUGAAAUUGGUAACCUUGUCACCAUUUCUUACAGAAUAGAGGCCCCUCAUCGGCUUCCAGCAAGAGGUCGGUGUGAGGAGGUCAAAAGUCACAGGCUGCACGGAAAGGUUGUUAAAUUAAAAUCCAAGACAAGUAGACCAAGGAAAAGGGUUCUGAAUUUUCUUUUUUUUCUCCUGACACUUGGUGAUCUGAGUCAAAGUAAAUGAAACAACUUCCUAAAUCAUUGCAUGUAUCAUACAAGUUUCAAAUAGAAUGCACCUUUGUACAUGAAUCAUCAAUCAAUCCAUGUCUGUGCAAGGUGGAGGCAGAGUGGCCACUCUGUGCGUAUUCGGGGCUCCAGAGUGUAAAGGGCCCCUGUCCAAGGUCAUGCGGAGAUUCUGGGACUCGCCUGAUGGCACCAUCGCUGUGUUGCUCCGUGGGGCAGAUGUGCUCAACCUGAACGCGCGGUACCCUGGCCAGGAUUAAUCAGCUUGGAGCCGAUCGGGGCCCUUUGUCACCCAGCUCCCCUAACUAUCGCAAGUGUGCCCAGGGGACUCAGGUGAGCUAGUGACCCUAUGCCCUUCCUGCUCCCACACACCCAGCAGCACAAGAAUCCUCGAAUCCAGAUGUUUCUAGUUGGAGAAAACAAGUUUGGCAGGGGGACCAACUCAUCAUGCACUUGCUGCAUUAAUUGAGGGAACAAACUAACGACUGUGCAUUUGUGUGACAGUAGCAAGACCUUGACUCAUCUUAACAAGCUGCCAGCCUCGAGUCAGCGUCUUUGGAAAUACCAAAGUCAGCAUGGGGACAGCUGGGCUCCAUGCUCCAGACUGAAACACCUUCCAGAAAAGGAACUGAAGAGGGGAAAUCAGAUCCUCAAUACCAGGUGAACUGAUGAUAGAAGGCGUUACAAGGACACGGUUGUUGAAGGUGAGUCAGCUUUCAAGCAGAACACACAGGCGAGCAGGCACCCCUGCAUCAGCCGGUCCUGGUCAGAGCAGGGCGCCCCCUGCCCCGUGAGCAUGCAGCGCGCCCUUCCUCCAGCCUGAGGUCCUAGGAGCACAUCCUCCUCAUCCCUCUGCUCGGGAGGACGUGUGGACACCACCAACACCGCGUCCCUCCGACUCAUCCCGGCCGGCUGGUCCUACAGGAAUAAGGGAACUGUCCGUCCCCUGAGGGGUUUCCUCAUGACCCAAAUUAUUCCUCCUGCCUGCACAGCCUGAGAGUAGAAGUGAGUUAACUCAGACUUGUCUCCACCUUCAGGCAAGUGGAUUACUGACUAUCCAGAACCCCCACAAACACCUUGAUUUUCUUUUUUCUUCAAAAGUCAUUUUGAAUUAGCUUGCCUCCUGAUUCAGUUUAAGAAAUUAAAUGAGUGAAUUAUUAUACUUUCAAAAA